rnacentral:rRNA from 1 species
CACGUAGGGAGCAAGCGUUGUCCGGAUUUAUUGGGCGUAAAGAGCUCGUAGGUGGUUCGGUAAGUCGGGUGUGAAAACUCUGGGCUCAACUCAGAGACGCCACCCGAUACUGCUGUGACUCGAGUCUGGUAGGGGAGUGUGGAAUUCCCAGUGUAGCGGUGAAAUGCGCAGAUAUUGGGAGGAACACCAGUGGCGAAGGCGGCACUCUGGGCCAGUACUGACACUGAGGAGCGAAAGCGUGGGUAGCGAACAGGAUUAGAUACCCUGGUAGUCCACGCCGUAAACGUUGGGCACUAGGUGUGGGUCUCAACCAACGGGAUCCGUGCCGCAGCUAACGCAUUAAGUGCCCCGCCUGGGGAGUACGGCCGCAAGGCUAAA